UCUUAGAAACAUGGGGGUAGUCAGUUUCAUUGGUGCUUGUUUUCUUUUGCCAUCCUUGAAACUUCAGAGAAAUCUAAUUUAAAUGUCCCGGGCUGGUCUCAGCUGUGCCAGAGAAUUCAGGAAAAGAAUUCAGCUGGUCUCAGCUGUGGAGAAUUCGGGAAAAGGUCAAGUACCCAUGCUUGGGAUGGCGGUGAAGGAGGAAUGGUAAUCGGCAGAUUUCCGAGAGUAAGCUCGUGUCACUAGAAGCUCAUUCUAUGCUGAAGACCACACUGACCGUUGUGGAGGGGAACACAAAGUGAAAUCUCCUGCUUUAAAAAGCGCUGACAGGCGAUAGGAAGCCAGGGGCUGGAAUGCAAUGGCGCCAUCUCGGCUCACCUCAACCUCUGCCUCCCGGAUUCA